AGCGAACGUUAGCGGCGCGCCUAACACAUGCAAGUCGCACGAGAAAGGGAGCAAUCCUGAGUAGAGUGGCGCACGGGUGCGUAACACGUAGAUAACCUGCCCUAUGGAGGGGGAUAACGUUCCGAAAGGAGCGCUAAUACCGCAUACAGCUGUUCGGGCUUGGGCUCGGGCGGGCAAAGAUGGGGGACCGGGCAACCGGCCUAUCGCCAGAGGAGGGGUCUGCGGCCCAUCAGCUAGUUGGUGAGGUAAUGGCUCACCAAGGCAAAGACGGGUAGCUGGUCUGAGAGGAUGAUCAGCCACACUGGUACUGGAACACGGACCAGACUCCUACGGGAGGCUG
rnacentral:rRNA from 1 species